rnacentral:rRNA from 1 species
CACGUAGUUAGCCGUGGCUUUCUGGUUAGGUACCGUCAAGGUACGAGCAGCUACUCUCGUACUUGUUCUUCCCUAACAACAGAGUUUUACGACCCGAAAGCCUUCAUCACUCACGCGGCGUUGCUCCGUCAGACUUUCGUCCAUUGCGGAAGAUUCCCUA